GGUAGCAGUUGGUAGUUUCCAGCCACAGAUUCGAAUUGGCCAGGGUCAAAAUCUGUCAUUAGAGAUAAAACCUUGAAGUGAAGGCAGUUUUGAUGUUUGAAAUAUUUGUUGAUGUGAGUUUGUGAUUAACAAGUUUAAGAAUGGUAUGUUGCAGAAAUUCUGGCAGAUGCGAAUGUAAGCUUGAUGGCAUCAUUUUCAUAUAACUGCUUGAAAUGCAUAUAUGCCACUAUCAGCAUUGAGCGUCUGGUGAACUGUCAAAUGUCAUAUAGGCCUCACACAGUUGAAAAUAGUGAAAAAAGUAAUCGGUUGACAGGUCUGCAUCUCGUAAGAUAUCGGAAGCCGUCUGACUUGGCCACAUCGCUCGGAAGUCUGAAGUACUAGAAAAAACCGCCAUCUGCUACCUUAAGACAUUUGUCAAUUUUGUCUGCAUCUCGUAAGAUAUCGGAAGCCGUCUGACUUGGCCACAUCGCUCGGAAGUCUGAAGUACUAGAAAAAACCGCCAUCUGCUACCUUACCUGUAGAGAACUGAGUAGUUCCGGUAAAGAAUCCAGGGACACUUGUUAGGUUAACUGCUCAAUAUUACAUGACUGAAUUUCUGUUGCAAAGCGGUGCUAAACCAAAAGUAACAAACAAAAGAAAAUAUGCAGGUAUUAAAGUAACCACCUUAGAUUUAAAACUUUUACCAGGCUGACAAAACUGAUUAAGUGAUACCAAAUCAAGAUAUCUGAAAUAUAUAAAACUUUAUUCUUGCAUAAAAACUACUUUUUUCUCUGGAUCCGCCCAUGUAUUAACGGGAGAAAAAUCGUGUGCAAACAAGGCAAUUCACGUGCUGUUAAUACAUGAUUUUUAUUUUUGAAAUGCUUUGCCAGGGAUAUAUGUAUGUAUUUUUGCGCACACUGAUAUUUGACAUCUGCGUCUUGUUUCAUCCUUAACAACCUAUUCUUGUAGCAUUAUAGAUACAAUGUAAUCCAUAUUAUGUUUAGCUGUAUCUGUUUCCAACCCCAAACGUACUGCCCCCAUCAAUGUACGCACUAGCUUCUCUUAGAGUUCACUCCCUUUACAAAGCAUCUGUUCAGUUAUUGUAAAUAACUGUGAAUAAAUAAGUAUCGCGUGUAACUUGUGCUAUUGUUCGUUUUUAGGUAUUAUAUUUAUGAUUUUGUUAAGUAUCAGUCGGUAUGUUUUUAUCUAAUUUCUCGAAGAAUUUAUAUAAACAGCUUGGAAACUUGAUACUACGUUCGUACUCAUCCGUACUCCAACUGCGUGUCCGUACUCAAUAUAACUCGAAUGCAAAGUUAUUAUUCUUGAAAUUGUGAUCGAGUCCACCAAAUUGUGAAAUGAUAUGAACAAUUAUUGGUAAUUUUAUGUUUGUAAUAAUGAGAGAUAAAAAAUCGCUUAAAAACCUUCAGGAUGUGCUUUUGAUAGUGUUGUUUAUUUCCGGGCCCUGGA